AAGAGGAUCAAACCUCAAAACCCUUCCACCUAUCUUUCUUUCUCACUCCACGAUGUUUCUUGCCCCGUGAAAAACCCGAAGCACAAACCCUCACCACUUCUCGAACUCUCUCACCUUCGUCCUUCUCGUCGAAGUUGCGCGUGUGGUGCUGCUCGCAAGCCACCACACCGCUCGCUGUUGUUGUUGUUGCCCGUGUUUCUCUCUCCUCUGUUCGCCGGUGUCUUAAGUUCGCCGGAGCCCUGCUGCAUCCUCGACCGCUGAUGCGCGGUGUUGCCUCGCCGCAACUUCUGUCGGAGUUGUUGCUGCUGCUGCUAUCGUGGUUCCUUCCCCUGUCCCGUGUUUCUCUCUCCUCUUGGUGUUCCCCGUGUCUUUUCUGUUGGUGCUGUUGGUUCUCGUCUGCGACGCGGUGUCGCUACUGGUGGUAGCCGCCACUUCUUGGAGUUGCUGCAGUGGUGUGUUACCUCUUGUAAAGUAUUUUAUAUGUUUCAGGUUGAAGCCGUGAGUUAUUCUUUUGCAAGCUGAAGCGGAUACGAGAUGGUGCAGUAUUAUAUUUGUUAUUGAAGUGAGGACGCUCCACCUGUAAUAGUUAAAUCGUUUAAUUUCUAUAAUAUAUUUUCUUUAUUUAAGAAUCGCUAGCUAAGUGCUCCUGAUUCUCUAUUGGUUGUUGCUCCGCGAAAGCGUUGAGAUUGUUGAGCUUUGGGAUUUGGAAAUAAUUUAUUUAUUAAAAUUGUAACAGGUUCAUAUUAUUUUUCGCUUUAGCGUUGUCCUAUUUUCAAAGGAAACUCUGCCGGAUUUUCUGUAGAAAUUCAUGAGAAUAGAGUCUGAGAAUCAGAGCAUAGUUAUAAUAGUUAAUUUAUUUGAAUAGA